GACGAACGCUGGCGGCGUGCCUAAUACAUGCAAGUAGAGCGCUGAAGAUUGGUCUUUGCACCCUGGUUAAGUUCCGCGAACGUGUGAAUAACGCGUGGAACAUCUCUCUUUGCGCGGGGGACAACUUGUAGAAACUAGUUCUUAUACCACAUUACAACUUUACACAUAAGAUUUAAGUUUAAAAUAUAAUAUUGUCUCUCUCAGAUGUACUCCCGCGUUGUAUUAGCUAGUUGGUGAGGUAAGGGCUCACCAAGGCGAUGAUACAUAGCCGACCUGAGAGGGUGAUCGGCCACACUGGGACUGAGACACGGCCCAGACUCCUACGGGAGGCAGCAGUAGGGAAUCUUCGGCAAUGGACGGAAGUCUGACCGAGCAACGCCGCGUGAGUGAAGAAGGUUUUCGGAUCGUAAAGCUCUGUUGGAAGAGAAGAACGUGGGUGAGAGUGGAAAGCUCAUACAGUGACGGUAACUAACCAGAAAGGGACGGCUAACUACGUG
rnacentral:rRNA from 1 species